AGUUUACUAUAUCCUCCAUAGAAUAUCUCCAUAGAAGUAAAAUGGCAGCAAAUAAAUUACUGUCUAUUGUUUUUGCUGCGUGUCUUCUGGCAAAUAUCUUUGCAAAGCCAGCUGCAGAGGAUGACAACGACGGUUCCCAAAUUUCAACAAUUCCAUCGUCAUGUGAUACGAUUAUUCCAGCUCCCCUUAAUCGCUUUGUCAGUCAAGUGGUCAGCCCCGUUAUCUACAGCGUUGGAUUGCCAGCAUUUGUACUUCAAAUUCUCGAACGGGUAUUAAUUUGUCCCGAAGACAGGCAAAUCACAAGUCCACCUGAAAUUACUGAUAAUUCUAGCAAUUCGUCAUAAAUUGCGAGUAUAAUGUAAGUGUUGGUUUUGUGUUAUCUUAUUGUAUUGUGUUGGAUCUACAUUUGUAAUCAUUUUAUCCUCAAUAUAUUAUAAAAUAUAUGUAAUACUAGGUUUUGCCCGUUACUUAGAGCCGGUAGUGUUUAAUAAAAAUGUAAUUUGUUUUUA